ensembl:lncRNA
CUUGCAGUUGACAUCCUCUCUGAGUUGACUCGACAUGUAAUCCUGAAUAACACAUUUUAGCUUUGAGAUAGCUACUUUGAGGUGUCUCUGUAAAAUGCAUGAAGCACCAGCCUGGGUCUUAGCUCCUCUGGUGAACUCAUGAAGAUAUGAUCAGUUUGGAAGCACGGGAAGAGAUGCAGUCCCACAGGGCACAUGGCCUCACGGAAGGUGGUCCACAGGGAAUGGAACAACUCAUCCUCUCCUAUAAAUGCACUGUUUCUCCUCAUCUGAAGGGAAUAACGGGCUCUGCAGCACACACUGGUGAUCAUCAGACAUGCAGUUUUCCGACCAAAGGGGAAAAGGUAGCCUGAGCCAAAGGGCUGGCAGAGCCUUCCCUUCCAGCUAAUGGACUUUCACAGGAAGGGCCUCUGAUGGCGCUGCACAGGGGAGUCCGGCUCUCGCUAUUCCCCUUGAGGGUUUUUUUUUUGUACCAUUUUUGCAAUGCUGAUCUUCUGAGCUAAUGUCUUGAAUUCUUUGCCUGGUAAUGCAGUGCGGUCCUUUGAGACCCCUGGGCCUAUUUAAUUUCAUGCAUGUAUAAGAUACCUUUUCCCUUUUGGCACCACGAUACCAGCUACAGUCACUUUAACCACUGCCAGUCAGUCCUAGCUAUCAGAAUCUGAAGAGGGGACAGGAGGAGGGAGAAGAUAAUGGAUUUGCCUUGAGAGCUCAUCUAGAAAUGCAGCCCUAUGCAGCAGACUGCCUAUGAAGAUGCAGCUUGAAGAAAGAUGACCAAGAUGAACUUGCUGGGAAAAAUGCAGUCCAUCUUCUUCAGCACUGAAGACAAAUAGAGAUACGCUUAGAAAGGCAGAGGUGGCAGGAGGGCAGGGCUCGGCUCGGGCUGGCUCGUGGUGACACAUUGCACUGGUAGCUUUUUAUGGUGCUCAUCAUGCUGAUGAUCUGAUUGCCUCCCAGGUGCUAAUGAAUAUCUCCUGCAAUGGGCCUGUGAGAUAGACUCAUAAAUUACUCCUGGUACACAAAAUGCGUGGGAGGCUGCCUGUUUGCUCAGCAUGGGACCAAGACCUGCACAUUCAAAUAUCGGCAGACAGCUGGAACGCAAUCUGUGAAAAGGCACUCAGAGCCUCCAGGUCUAUUAAAUACAAACUCAGAACAUCUAUCGAGAAUUUUAUAUCUUACAUUACACGGGUAAUGCUAAAAAGAAUAGGUGUUAUACCCCUGGGACAGUAAAUGCAGCGUCAGUAUCCGAAAAAAUCUUUCUUUUGUGGUUGGUGGAUCAGUGUGUGCAUGGGGGUAUGGAUGCGUAUAUAUGGUUGUGUAUGAAUUUGUAUGUGUAUUCCUAUAUAUAUAUGUUUGAGAAAGGACAAUCAGCCUGGACAGUUGGGCAGAGGAACCGUAUGAGGUUCGAUAGGGGCAAGUGGAGAGUCCUGUGCCUUGGGGAAGAAAGGCUGCACACACAGGUACAGGUUAAAGGAUGACCUCAUGGAGAGGAGCUCUGCAGAAAAGGACUUGGGUGUCCUGGCAGCCAACAGGUUGGCCAUGAGCCAGCAGUGUGCCCUUGUGGGCAAUGGUAUCCUGGGGUGCAUUAAAAAGAGCUUGUCCAGAAGGUUGAGAGUGGUGAUCCUCCCCCUCUACUCCACCCUGGUGAGGCCACCUCUGGAGUACUAUGUCCAGUUCUGGGCUCCUCAGUUCAAGAAAGACAGAGAACUUCUGACAGUCCAGCAAAGGACCACAAGGAUGAUUUGUGGCCUGGAGAAUCUCCCUGAUGAGGAGAGGCUGAGACACUUGGGACCGAUCAGCCUGAAGAACAGAUGACUGAUAGAGAAUCUUAUCAAUGGCUAUAAAUAUCUAAUGGGUGGGUGUGAAGUGGAUGUUUCUGAUGUUGGGAAAAUCUCCAUUAUGGAGAUUUAGCUGCCAUAUGGCCUUUUUUUUUUUUUUUUUUUUUUCAUACAGGCUGUAUUUUUCAAAAUUCACUGUCUGAUUCUGCAAUUUAGUCUACAGGCCAUUGCUUAUCCCAACCCAUGAAGUGGUCUGCGAUGGCAUUUACACUGCCUUCACCUGGUGUGGAUGCACAGAUUUUCCCAACAUAUUUUACUUUCCUGGUGCCCACAGUAUCACAAAUUACCACAGUAAUCAAAAUUUGGAAAAAUGCUUUACUCAGUCUUUAAUCUAAAGGCCACCUCUUGAUUAAGCUGGUUUUGAAUAUGAGCCAGAUAUGUUUCCAGCUGCGAGUAAGGCCCAGGUAUUCAGGCUAGUCAUACGUCAAAUUUGAUUAGCAG